GUCCCAGUGACAUAGUGGCUAAUGCACAGCCCCGGUUAGGAGCGAGACGCGGGUUCGAAUCCCGCCUGAGAUG
rnacentral:tRNA from 1 species